GAAAUGCGAUACUUGGUGUGAAUUGCAGAAUUCAGUGAAUCAUCGAAUCUUUGAACGCAUAUUGCGCUCUCUGGUAUUCCGGAGAGCAUGCUUGUUUGAGUAUCAGUAAACACCUCAACUCCUUUUUCUUUUUUGAAAUUGGAGCUGGACUUGAGUGAUCCCAACGCUUUCUUCCAAGAAAGUGGCGGGUUGCUUGAAAUGCAGGUGCAGCUGAACUUUUCUCUGAGCUAUAAGCAUAUCUAUUUAGUCUGCCUAAAAAACAGAUUAUUACUUUUUUUGCUGCAGCUUACAUAAAGGUUGAUUGUUUAAUGACUGAUGCAGGAAUUUAUCAGUGGAAGCGUUUUUUUUUUAAAAAGUGCAGAAACUGUGAAUCUCGAUCUCAAAUCAAGUAAGACUACCC
rnacentral:misc_RNA from 1 species